rnacentral:rRNA from 1 species
UACAGAGGUCCCAAGCGUUGUUCGGAUUUACUGGGCGUAAAGGGAGCGUAGGUGGCAUUCUAAGUCUGAUGUGAAAGCUCUGAGCUUAACUCAGAAAUGGCAUUAGAUACUAGUUUGCUUGAGGAUUGGAGGGGAGACUGGAAUUCAUGGUGUAGCAGUGAAAUGCGUAGAGAUCAUGAGGAAGACCAGUGGCGAAGGCGGGUCUCUGGACAGCUCCUGACACUGAGACACGAAGGCCAGGGGAGCAAACGGG